UACAGAGGUCUCAACCGUUGUUCGGAUUUAUUGGGUUUAAAGGGUGCGUAGGCGGCUUUGUAAGUCAGUGGUGAAAUAUGGCAGCUCAACUGUCAGGGUGCCAUUGAUACUGCGGAGCUUGAGUACAGAUGAGGUAGGCGGAAUUGACGGUGUAGCGGUGAAAUGCUUAGAUAUCGUCAAGAACACCGAUAGCGAAGGCAGCCCCCUGG
rnacentral:rRNA from 1 species